rnacentral:rRNA from 1 species
UACAGAGGGGGCAAGCGUUAUUCGGAAUUAUUGGGCGUAAAGGGCGCGUAGGCGGCUUGGCAAGUGGAUGGUGAAAUCCCUCGGCUUAACCGAGGAACUGCCGUCCAAACUGCUUUGCUUGAGACCGGGAGAGGUGAGUGGAAUUCCCAGUGUAGCGGUGAAAUGCGUAGAUAUUGGGAGGAACACCAGUGGCGAAGGCGGCUCACUGGACCGGUACUGACGCUGAUGCGCGAAAGCGUGGGGAGCAACGGGG